rnacentral:rRNA from 1 species
AAGUCCGCAAGGAUGAGUAAAGUGGCGACCGGGUGAGUAACACGUGACUACCUGCCCUUGAGUGGGGGAUAACCUCGGGAAACCGAGGCUAAUACCGCAUAAUAUCGCAAGAUCAAAGGAGCAAUCCGCUUUUGGAGGGGGUCGCGGCUGAUUAGCUAGUUGGUAAGGUAAUGGCUUACCAAGGCGACGAUCGGUAUCCGGCCUGAGAGGGCGCACGGACACACUGGAACUGAAACACGGUCCAGACUCCUACGGGAGGCAGCAGUGGGGAAUUUUGCGCAAUGGGGGAAACCCUGACGCAGCAACGCCGCGUGGAGGAUGAAGCCCCUUGGGGCGUAAACUCCUUUCGACCGGGAAAAUUAUGAUGGUACCGGUGGAAGAAGCACCGGCUAACUCUGUGCCAGCAGCCGCGGUAAUACAGAGGGUGCGAGCGUUGUUCGGAAUUAUUGG